CUCACCAUAGCUCAGUUGGCAGAGCGCAAGGAUUAGACAACCUUGAGGUCCCUGGUUCGAACCCAGGUGGUGAGU